rnacentral:rRNA from 1 species
CAAUAAGCGGAGGAAAAGAAACCAACAGGGAUUGCCCUAGUAACGGCGAGUGAAGCGGCAACAGCUCAAAUUUGAAAUCUGGCUCUCGGGCCCGAGUUGUAAUUUGUAGAGGAUACUUUUGAUGCGGUGCCUUCCGAGUUCCCUGGAACGGGACGCCAUAGAGGGGGAGAGCCCCGUCUGGUUGGAUGCCAAAUCUCUGUAAAGUUCCUUCAACGAGUCGAGUAGUUUGGGAAUGCUGCUCUAAAUGGGAGGUAUAUGUCUUCUAAAGCUAAAUACCGGCCAGAGACCGAUAGCGCACAAGUAGAGUGAUCGAAAGAUGAAAAGCACUUUGAAAAGAGAGUUAAAAAGUACGUGAAAUUGUUGAAAGGGAAGCGUUUAUGACCAGACUUGGGCUUGGUUAAUCAUCUGGGGUUCUCCCCAGUGCACUUUUCCAGUCCAGGCCAGCAUCAGUUUUCCCCGGGGGAUAAAGGCGGCGGGAAUGUGGCUCUCUUCGGGGAGUGUUAUAGCCCACCGUGUAAUACCCUGGGGGGGACUGAGGUUCGCGCAUCUGCAAGGAUGCUGGCGUAAUGGUCAUCAACGACCCGUCUUGAAACACGGACCAAGGAGUCGUCUUCGUAUGCGAGUGUUCGGGUGUCAAACCCCUACGCGUAAUGAAAGUGAACGCAGGUGAGAGCUUCGGCGCAUCAUCGACCGAUCCUGAUGUUCUCGGAUGGAUUUGAGUAAGAGCAUACGGGGCCGGACCCGAAAGAAGGUGAACUAUGCCUGUAUAGGGUGAAGCCAGAGGAAACUCUGGUGGAGGCUCGCAGCGGUUCUGACGUGCAAAUCGAUCGUCAAAUAUGGGCAUGGGGGCGAAAGACUAAUCGAACCUUCUAGUAGCUGGUGUCGC